rnacentral:rRNA from 1 species
GACGAACGCUGGCGGCGUGCCUAAUACAUGCAAGUCGAACGCAGUGGGGACGGGUGAGUAACACGUGGGUAACCUCCCAUCAGAGGGGAUAACAUUUGGAAACAGGUGCUAAACCGCUAGCGAUGGAUGGUCCCGCGGUGCAUUAGCUAGGUGGUGAGGUAACGGCCCACCAAGUCCACGAUGCAUAGCCGACCUGAGAGGGUGAUCAGCCACACUGGGACUGAGACACGGCCCAGACUCCUACGGGAGGCAGCAGUAGGGAAUCUUCGGCAAUGGACGAAAGUCUGACCGAGCAACGCCGCGUGUGUGAAGAAGGUUUUCGGAUCGUAAAGCUCUGUUGUUAGAGAAGCGGUAUCUAACCAAAAAGCCACGGCUAACUACGUGCCAGCAGCCGCGGUAAUUC